rnacentral:rRNA from 1 species
AAACUCCGCAAUGCACGAAAGUGUGACGGGGCUACCCCGAGUGCCAUCCGCUGAGGAUGGCUUUUCUUUGGUAUAACUAGCCAGGGGAAUAAGGAGAGGCAAGACUGGUGUCAGCCGCCGCGGUAAUACCAGCUCUCCGAGUGGUAGGGAUGAUUAUUGGGCUUAAAGCGUCCGUAGCCGGCUUAGCAAGUCUCCUGUUAAAUUCAGCGACCUAAUCGUUGACCCGCGGGAGAUACUACUAGGCUAGGAGGCGGGAGAGGUCGACGGUACUUCUGGGGUAGGGGUGAAAUCCUAUAAUCCCGGGAGGACCACCAGUGGCGAAGGCUGUCGACUAGAACGCGCUCGACGGUGAGGGACGAAAGCCGGGGGAGCGAACCGGACUAGAUACCCGGGUAG